GGAGCUCGGUGUGUGCACGCACAGGAGCUCAGUGUGUGCACGCACUCCCGGGGCUCGCUCGGCCCCGGUGGGUGCUGCACACCCAGCCACGCUCCCACACCCACGUUCCCACACCCCGGCCAUGGGCGCCGGCGCCCCCUCCCUUCCCGGCCCCCUGCGCUCCCCCGCGGCCGCAGUUCCUGUUUACGGUGAUGGAGCCGCCUGCCCGGCCCUCCCGACACCGCGGGGGGAGUUACCGGGGCAUCGCUGGUGCUGCGGCCUCUCCCGUGCCUGGCACCGGUGCUGAUGGGUUCCCGGCUGUGCGGGAUCACCCCACGGAUGCAAGACCACGAACCAUUCUGGGAACAGCAGCAGGAAAUCCUGACCGGGAAAAGAGCUGGACCCCGCGUGGCAUCAGCAUGGGCUGGGAGCCACGAAUCUGCUGUGUGUCAGGGAGCCGAGGGAGGAAUCCAGCCCUGGGCCAGACCCACUGUGCCACAUUCCCCAGCGCCGAGCCACACUGUGAGGAGCCGGGCUCAGCUCAUCCCAGCACCCGACCUGUGGGGAAACUGAGGCACCAGCUGGGGAAGUGACUCACCUACACUGUGGCCUCUAAAUGCACUGCUCCGAUUAGAUAAUGGGCGGAAGGA